rnacentral:rRNA from 1 species
GAUGAACGCUGGCGGCGUGCUUAACACAUGCAAGUCGAACGAGAAGUGAAGACGGAAACCUUCGGGCGGAAGGCUUUAUUUCGAGUGGCGGACGGGUGAGUAACGCGUGGGUAACCUGCCUCAUACAGGGGGAUAACAGUUGGAAACGACUGUUAAUACCGCAUAAGACCACAGCACCGCAUGGUGCGGGGGUAAAAACUCCGGUGGUAUGAGAUGGACCCGCGUUCGAUUAGCCAGUUGGCGGGGUAACGGCCCACCAAAGCGACGAUCGAUAGCCGAUCUGAGAGGCUGACCGGCCACAUUGGGACUGAGACACGGCCCAAACUCCUACGGGAGGCAGCAGUGGGGAAUAUUGCACAAUGGGGGAAACCCUGAUGCAGCGACGCCGCGUGAGUGAAGAAGUAUUUCGGUAUGUAAAGCUCUAUCAGCAGGGAAGAAAAUGACGGUACCUGAGUAAGAAGCCCCGGCUAACUACGUG